GCAUGCUAGCAAUACAGAAGAGAGAGAAGAUGCGCCUGUUUUAAUAAAAUCAGGAUGUAAACUGUAAAGGUCUACAAGCCACACCUAUGAAGUCAUGUGUUGUAAGUCAGAGUCAUGCUUCCCUGAUCGUCACAUCGAGUUAUUAGAUACGCCAGUCCUCCAUUUCCUGACUGAUCAGUGAAACACUAGUUAUUUCCAUCACUUCCAUGUGAAGUUUUCUGAGUUUCUGACAUAAAACCUGGUUAUCACCGUCAUCACCUGAUGAAGCUGUUGAUCUCAGCAGCUUCCAGCUACAUGGCAGUGAUCGCGAUCCACUCCUCUUAGUCCUAGAUCCGGAAGCAGCGUCGAAGAUCGGGGGCGUGGCCAGGUCCGGGAGACGGAGUCGAAGGGAGCAACAGGCGACGAGCUGGAUCUGCAGAGCAACCCCUCCCCUGAACCUUACGGCACGUAACACUGGUAGCAGGAGCACGACGGUGGUAUUAUGGGGCAAUGAGACGGUGCUGCUUGGCUUCCUCAGCAGGAGAUACCGCUGCACCUGAGGUCCCUGCUACCCCUUCCCCUGACGUGGCGCCCACACCCAAGCCUGUAGUUCCUGUCCCAGAAGUUCCUGCUCUGGUGGUUCCUGGUCUGGCCCCCCAGGUUCCUGACCCUCUGGCUCCAAUCCACCCGGUUCCUGCUCCUGUGCCCCCCCAUCCCCGAGGAGGUCCCUGAUCCCCUGGACCCUGCUCCCGUGCCCCUGGCUCCCAUGACCACAAGGAACUUCUC